ACACUCUCAGGAGAUGCUGCUAAACAUCUGUGUGUCCUUCAAGCUGUUCAACUGCAACAUCUGGUCAUUGGAUGGUUUGCAGCAGGAAGCCGUACCCCAGGGGCUGGGGUUGAAGAAGUGAAGGAGAAGCGCUCUGCCUUGCCACAGUGCCACGGGGCUGAGGAAGCCCCAGCUGCCCCAGCACCAAGACAGCCCAUGGAUAAUGCAGGAUGGGGUCUGAGCAGCCCAGGAGUAAUCCUUUCUGUGAACCCCUACCUUAUAACCACAGGCAUCCAGCGAGCCCCAGGAGCUGCGACAGACACCAGGACACCAUCCCCUGGCGGUGCACGGGACAUCAAGUGGCCGCAGAGCUGUGACCACUGCUGACCUCUGUCCUGCUGUCACCUCCCAGGCACACAGACGCUGGGAGGUGCUUGGCCACCUCCUCAGCACACCCACGCUGGGGGAUGAGCACAGCGGGGCACUGGUGCUGGCCACAGCCCCUCACCCAGCCUGCUGGCGUGCUUAGGCAUGUAUGCAGUGCAAGAAGCUAUGUUGUUGUGACUUGUUAGCAUGUGGCACUGGUAAAUAAAAGCACAUUGGUCUUAUCA
rnacentral:lncRNA from 1 species